rnacentral:rRNA from 1 species
UAUUAACUCACACCUACCAACGCCCGGGUACUACGAGCCCCAGCUUAAAACCCAAAGGACUUGACGGUGUCCCACCCACCUAGAGGAGCCUGUUCUAUAAUCGAUGAUCCCCGCUAAACCCAACCCCCCCUUGCCAAUCAGCCUGUAUACCUCCGUCGUAAGCUUACCAUAUGAAUGCCCUAAGUAAGUCUAACGGCUACAAACACCAAUACGUCAGGUCAAGGUGCAGCUCAUGGGGCGGUAAGCAAUGGGCUACAAUUUCUAAUUUAGAACAAACGAAACACUGUAUGAAACUCAGUUGUGAAGGCGGAUUUAGUAGUAAAAAGAAAGUAGCGUGUUCUUUUUAACUAGGCCCUGGGACGUGU